UACGGAGGGUGCAAGCGUUAUCCGGAUUCACUGGGUUUAAAGGGUGCGUAGGUGGGCUGGUAAGUCAGUGGUGAAAUCUCCAGGCUUAACUUGGAAACUGCCAUUGAUACUAUCAGUCUUGAAUACCGUGGAGGUCAGCGGAAUAUGUCAUGUAGCGGUGAAAUGCUUAGAUAUGACAUAGAACACCGAUAGCGAAGGCAGCUUGCUACACAAUCAUUGACACUGAGGCACGAAAGCGUGGGGAUCAAACAGG
rnacentral:rRNA from 1 species